AUGACCCCAGACCCCUCCAACUUGACCCCAGACCUCUCUGCCUUGACAACCCCAGACCCCUCCACCUCGACCCUGGACCCCUCCACCACAACGACUCCAGGCCCCUCCACCGCAACGACCCCGGACACCUCCACCACAACGACCCCGGGCCCCUCCGCCACAACAACCCUGGACGCCUCUGCCACAACGACCCCGGGCCCCUCUGACACAAGGACCCCGGGCCCCUCCGCCUCAACCCCAAGCCCCUCCACCUUGACAAUCCCAGAUCUCUCCACCAUGAUGACCCCAGACACCUCUGCCUCGACCUGGGACCCCACAACCUCCACCAUGACAACCCCAGACCCCUCUGCCACGACAACCCCGGACUCCUCCACUUUGACGACGCCAGACCCUUCUGCCAUGACAACCCCAGACCCCUCCACCUCAACCCUGGACCCCUCCACCACAAUGACCCCAGACCCCUCCAACUUGACCCCAGACCUCUCUGCCUUGACAACCCCAGACCCCUCCACCUCGACCCUGGACGCCUCCACCUUGACAACCCCAGACCCCUCCACCUUGACCCUGGACCCCUCCACCUUGACAACCCCAGACACCUCCACCUUGACAACCCCAGACCCCUCUGCCUUGACAACCCCAGACCCCUCCUUCUCGACCCCAGAUCCCUCCACUGUGAUGACCCCAGACCCCUCCACCUCAACCAAGGACCCCUCCACCAUGACAACUCCAGACCCCUCUGCCAUGACAACUCUGGACUCCUCCACCUCAACCCCAGACCCGUCCACCUCAACUAAGGACCCCUCCGCCUCGACCCCGGACCCCUCCACCCCAACAACCUCAGACCCCUCCACCUCAACCCCAAACCCCUUCACCUUGACAACCCCAGACCCCUCCACCUUGAUGACCCUGGACUCCUCCACCUCGACGACCCCAGACCCCUCCACUGUGACCCCGGACCCUACCAACUCCACCCCGACCCUAGACCCCACCACUUUGACUGCAACUCUGACCUCUUCCUCCCCCGCCUCAACCCCUGACUCCUCCACCUCUGCCCUUACCCCAGCCUCCUCUGUCUCCACCUUAAUUCCUGGCUCCUCUGACUCCACCUCAACCCUGACCUCCUCUGUCACCCCCUCAACCCCUGACUCCCCUAGCACCCCCACCAGCAGCAUCCCCACGAACACGACCAUCACUGGCUCCAGCGCCCUCACAACCACCAGCAGCACUGCUCCAGAUAUUUCUUCCACACCCACCGCUUCUAGUGCAGCAACCACGAGUUUGGUGACAACAACCACAACCACCACCAGCAUCACCACCAGUCCCACAGAUGUCACCACGACCAUCAACAGCCCCACGACCACUUCUGGAGCCACCACCAGCCCCACAACCACCACCAUGAUGACCACUGGUGCCACCACCACCACCACCCUUCCGACCACCACCACCACGACUACGAAACCGACCACCACCACUACACGCUCAACCACUACCACUACCACCACAACCACCAAGACCACCACCACAAGCCCAACCACCACCUCCACUACCACUACCCCAGGUACCAUCCCUCCCACCCUUAGCUGUACCCAGGGCAGGUUCCUCGCCCCGUACCUCCCAGCCCCACCUCACACUGUCCUUUCCAGGGAAAUGCGAAAAUGGAGGCACUUGGGUCAACGGCCAAUGCGUGUGUCGCCCGGGAUACACGGGCGCCAACUGCGGUUCCGUCGACAGCAGCAUCGAGACCAAAGCUGGUAG
rnacentral:lncRNA from 1 species